AGCGGCGGACGGGUGAGUAACGCGUGGGUAACCUGCCUCAUACAGGGGGAUAACAGUUGGAAACGGCUGCUAAUACCGCAUAAGCGCACAGUACCGCAUGGUACCGUGUGAAAAACUCCGGUGGUAUGAGAUGGACCCGCGUCUGAUUAGCUAGUUGGUGGGGUAACGGCCUACCAAGGCGACGAUCAGUAGCCACCUGAGAGGGUGACCGGCCACAUUGGGACUGAGACACGGCCCAA
rnacentral:rRNA from 1 species